CAAAACUAAAGCAGGAAAGAAAAGACAAAGUGGUGCUGCUACUAGUUCCAAAUUGUGUGUAUUUAUGUUGUUGCAGGAGCUCUAUGGAUCUCUUUUUGUUCAAGUUAAUUGGAUUAACUUUGGCUUUGUUUGUGUUCUUCUGAAAAUGAAGGUUCAGAAGAAACAGGACAACAUAAAAAGUAACUGCAGCUUCUAGCAUAACAU
rnacentral:lncRNA from 1 species